CGUCCGCAAAAGAGUAACGUCGUGUGCAAGGAGUGGCCAGCGUCGUGCAUGUACCACCGCGAGUGUUGUGACUAGACCGUCAAGACUAUUGGAAUAGGGUAGUCCAUGAGGGACUUCCUUUUCUUUUCCCUCUUAUUUUUGUCUUUCCCCUUUAAACACAUGGUUGUACUUAAGUGCCACUUGGAGGUGGCUUGUUGCCACCUCACCCCUUUUGCUCGUCACUUGGAGGUGGCUUGUUGCCACCUCUCCUUCCUUUCUCUCACUACCCAUUCAACCACCCUAGAUCUCAUCCUCCAUCUCUCUCUCUCUAUCCCCCACUAUUUUUUUUCCCUUUGAACCCCUAGAAAUUCCAGCCUUUUGUGUUAUUGUUAAGAGACUUGAAGAGUG
rnacentral:lncRNA from 1 species